UACGUAGGGUGCGAGCGUUGUCCGGAAUUAUUGGGCGUAAAGAGCUCGUAGGCGGUCUGUCGCGUCGGUCGUGAAAACUUGGGGCUUAACCCUGAGCUUGCGGUCGAUACGGGCAUGACUGGAGUUCGGCAGGGGAGACUGGAAUUCAUGGUGUAGCGGUGAAAUGCGCAGAUAUCAGGAGGAACACCGGUGGCGAAGGCGGGUCUCUGGGCCGAUACUGACGCUGAGGAGCGAAAGCGUGGGGAGCGAACAGG
rnacentral:rRNA from 1 species